UGCCCCUUGGCCCAGUGGUGAAGGCGUCUGACUGUUAGCAAGCAGAACAAUCAGAAGAUCGCUAGUUCGAUCCUAGCAGGGGCAG
rnacentral:tRNA from 1 species